CAGGGCUCAUAUCCUCUGCUUUGUACAAUUGUCACAAGGUGGGGAUUGGGCUGAUUUGCUGUUAAUUUCAACAUUCUCCAACUGCUCAACAUGAGCAGCAGGACACCCAGACCUCAGGUCCACUAGUGUUAACCUGAGGCCUUCCCAAUCUGCUCCCCUCAGUCUGGAACAUGGGCACCAGACAUUGCUGAGUGCUUCUCCCUUUGAUUGUCCUUUAGAAAGACGUGGUUUUAUUUUGUUCCUGCAAAGCUGAGGUGUAGAGGGUCACAACUGCCUUCACCUUCUCUUUUUACAACAGCAUGUCUUUAUUUCUCCAUAUCUCAAGUCAAAAUCUUCAUCAUUUUUUGCUGUUACUUCUCUGAACAUUUUCUUCCUCUUUGUCAGUUUAUUCAAUGGGGUAAAGUUGCUUUUAGGAUCAACAUUGCCUCUUUUGGAGGACACAUUUAGGUAUAAACUGCAGUACAAGAAGCCAAGGACAGAAGAACUGGCUUAUACAUAUUCCUCCUUUGCUGUGGCUGUGUCACUCAACAGUGAUCAAAAAUUGAAUGUGUUUCUCUCAGCGGUGUGCCAAGAUGGACUGAUUUGGUCCGGAGAUGAAGAAGGAGGUGUGGAGUACAUGACCAUUGCCACCAAGAUCGGUGCUGUCCAACCAUUGGGAGGAAGUCUGAGAUGUCAGGAAUCUGGUUGCCUUCGUCUUCCUUCUCAUCCUGUGACACUGAAGCUCCUGCAGUUUCCUGCAGGCUGCUCUUUCUGCUUCAUCUUUCUCUUCUAUAGGAGGGAAAGGAUGUUUUCUAGCUGCGAGGAGGUUUCAAGGGUUGAUGUCUCUGAAGACUUCUUCAGUGGAAAGCUCUUGUCAUUUGCAAUACAGCUUCAUCGUGGUGCUAAAGUGGGCAAAAAGGUUUCUGCAGAGGAUGUUGUGUGUGACAUCUGUUGCUUAGACUUCAAGGCAUUUGCGGAGAUGAAGUAAGCAUAAUAUUAACUGACUAGAAAGCAAAUCCCUUCUCUUUAAAGUUCUUGUUAAAUGCAAGCUACAGAGGAAAAGGAAUGGAAGGCAUCAAUCCAGGUCAUUUACUGUUACCCCCAAGGAACAGAUUCAUUGUCUAUUUUCAAUGGAUUGUUUUACAGCUAUUAGAAAGCAUUCUUGGCUUCUUGGGGAGGGGGGAAUGUACCCCAGUUGCCAUUAAUUAUUAAUAACUGCUGGCAUAUUUAAUGAGUUCAAAAAAUGAUCUGUUCAUUCAUAAUAACCUCUUCUGCCUGUCGCCUUCCAGAUCCU
rnacentral:lncRNA from 1 species